GAUGAACGCUGGCGGCGUGCUUAACACAUGCAAGUCGAACGGAAAGGCUCCUGCUUGCAGGGGUACUCGAGUGGCGAACGGGUGAGUAACACGUGGGUGAUCUGCCCUGCACUUCGGGAUAAGCCUGGGAAACUGGGUCUAAUACCGGAUAGGACGAUGGUUUGGAUGCCAUUGUGGAAAGUUUUUCGGUGUGGGAUGAGCUCGCGGCCUAUCAGCUUGUUGGUGGGGUAAUGGCCCACCAAGGCGUCGACGGGUAGCCGGCCUGAGAGGGUGUACGGCCACAUUGGGACUGAGAUACGGCCCAGACUCCUACGGGAGGCAGCAGUGGGGAAUAUUGCACAAUGGGCGCAAGCCUGAUGCAGCGACGCCGCGUGGGGGAUGACGGCCUUCGGGUUGUAAACUCCUUUCGCUAGGGACGAAGCGCAAGUGACGGUACCUGGAGAAGAAGCACCGGCUAACUACGUG
rnacentral:rRNA from 1 species